CCGAAACCCUUUUUCUAUCCCCUUAUCGCUUUCUCCGUUUCUCCCAUCUAACAAUGUUCUUAUUUCGAAACCCUAUUUCUCUCCCCAUCUUCAUCGCCCCUUGUGGCUAUUAGCUUCAUCUUCAGGAGUCCCUAUUCUAUCGCGAUUUUAGUUUUUACAAUCUUUUUCUUGUCUUCCAUUUUCCGAAUCAAGUAGCGAUUAUUACAAAAUUGCUCCAGUCGUUCUGCUUUCUUUCUAUUACCUUUGGAAAUUUCAGAGAAAGUUUUCCCUCCGUCCAUUUCCCCCUGUCAUAAACAAAGAGCUGAUCUCCAGUCGACAAAUUGGUUACCUACUUGGUAAACUCCGAUGACAAAUAGCGUGAGAGAUCUACAAAACCCAGGCUAAAGGCUGAUCAUAGGUUCAACGAACACUUUGUAAAGGCCAGGUCACCUUUUCCAUCUCCAGGAAUGGAGUCCAGAAACGUUGUUCGGAAACAACCAACAGUUCAAAUGCUGCUGAACCAGAUUCUUUAUUACAUUGGUGAUCCAUGUUUUGGUAUCAGUAUAUGUUAUGGAAUCAUUUUAGUGUGUGGAAUGGGAGGAUUGGGCAAGAAAUCUUCUUAUAAAAUUUAUGAUAUUAUGAUCAUCGUUAUUACUCAUGCAACUUUAAAUCAAAAAUCAUGGGGAAGAAAGAUUAUAAAAAUAUCUAUCCCAAGCCAUUUUUUCCCUUUCCUCCACCCUCCACGCUCCACGCGCCACGCUCCAUUAACGAGGGGCACUCCGACUUGUCAAACGGACUCGUCUGUUAUACUCUGUUAUACAUCAUCAUUCGUUCAGGGCUCCAGAACCACCGGAAUUUAUGACCCGCUCGAACAAGUUGGCCACUUCAACAGCUUCCCUCUUACUACUGUUAUACAUCAAUAUUUUCUUAAGAAGAUAACAUAGAACCAGAACCACCGGAAUUUAUAUCACCCUCAGACAAGUUGGCCACGUCAACAGCUUCACUCUUACUCUUACUACUCCUGGCUCUUCCUUUCAUGUGAGGAAUAUAUUCGCAUUGAUAACUAAACCAACGUGGUCAUAUCAUUAAAACAUUUGACGGGCCGUUUGCAUUGAUUUGCUUAGUUGGAUCUUAGUAUUAAAUCAGGUUUGUCAGAUGAGGCUUGUUUUGCCUUUAUUAGUUGGAAUGCUUUCAUGGAUGUAAUCAGAAGUAAUAAAAGAAGAAAUGCAAAUUCUUAUAAACUAAUGGAAGUCUUACGUAGGAAUGGAUGGACAUACUAAACUUUGAACUUAU